rnacentral:rRNA from 1 species
UACGGAGGGUGCGAGCGUUGUCCGGAAUCACUGGGCGUAAAGGCGCGUAGGCGGCCUGAUAAGUAGGGGGUGAAAUCCUGCGGCUUAACCGCAGGGCUGCCUUCUAAACUGUCAGGCUCGAGCACAGUAGAGGCAGGUGGAAUUCCCGGGUGUAGCGGUGGAAUGCGUAGAGAUCGGGAAGAACAUCAGUGGCGAAGGCGGCCUGGCUGGGCUGUUGCUGACGCUGAGCGCGACAGCGUGGGGAGCAACA